rnacentral:lncRNA from 14 species
CAGAGGCAUCACACAGCUGGGUCCCUACAGCCUGGACAAGGACAGCCUCUAUGUCAAUGAAUAUAAUGAAGAACCUGUUUUGGCAGCCACAGCUGCAUCUCCAAGAACUGGGAAGUUCACAGUGAAUUUCACCAUAACUAAUCUCCAGUACUCCAGUACUCUCAGCAGUCCAUAUUCUGCCAAGUUUAAUGCUACAGCAAGAGUCUUGAGUGC